CGAACUUCUUUAUCACCGAGUGCUUGCACUCACCGAUAAAGAGUUGAGUGGCGAACGGGUGAGUAACACGUGGGCAACCUGCCCGAAAGAGGGGGAUAACACUUGGAAACAGGUGCUAAUACCGCAUAACCAUGAACACCGCAUGGUGUUUAUGUGAAAGGUGGUUUCGGCUACCGCUUUCGGAUGGGCCCGCGGCGCAUUAGCUAGUUGGUGGGGUAAAGGCUUACCAAGGCAAUGAUGCGUAGCCGAACUGAGAGGUUGAUCGGCCACAUUGGGACUGAGACACGGCCCAAACUCCUACGGGAGGCAGCAGUAGGGAAUCUUCCACAAUGGGCGAAAGCCUGAUGGAGCAACGCCGCGUGGGUGAAGAAGGUCUUCGGAUCGUAAAACCCUGUUGUCAGAGAAGAAAGUGCAUGAGAGUAACUGUUCAUGUUUCGACGGUAUCUGACCAGAAAGCCACGGCUAACUACGUGCCAGCAGCCGCGGUAAUACGUAGGUGGCAAGCGUUAUCCGGAUUUAUUGGGCGUAAA
rnacentral:rRNA from 2 species